rnacentral:rRNA from 1 species
GAUGAACGCUGGCGGCGUGCCUAAUACAUGCAAGUCGAGCGAACAGACGAGGAGCUUGCUCCUCUGACGUUAGCGGCGGACGGGUGAGUAACACGUGGAUAACCUACCUAUAAGACUGGGAUAACUUCGGGAAACCGGAGCUAAUACCGGAUAAUAUAUUGAACCGCAUGGUUCAAUAGUGAAAGACGGUUUUGCUGUCACUUAUAGAUGGAUCCGCGCCGCAUUAGCUAGUUGGUAAGGUAACGGCUUACCAAGGCAACGAUGCGUAGCCGACCUGAGAGGGUGAUCGGCCACACUGGAAGUGAGACACGGUCCAGACUCCUACAGGAGGCAGCAGUAGGGAAUCUUCCGCGAUGGGCGAAAGCCUGACGGAGCAACGCCGCGUGAGUGAUGAAGGUCUUCGGAUCGUAAAACUCUGUUAUUAGGGAAGAACAAAUGUGUAAGUAACUAUGCACGUCUUGACGGUACCUGAUCAGAAAGCCACGGCUAACUACGUG